rnacentral:misc_RNA from 1 species
GAUGAAGAACGUAGCGAAAUGCGAUAAGUAAUGUGAAUUGCAGAAUUCAGUGAAUCAUCGAAUCUUUGAACGCACAUUGCGCCCGCCAGUAUUCUGGCGGGCAUGCCUGUUCGAGCGUCAUUACAACCCUCAGGCCCCCGGGCCUGGCGUUGGGGAUCGGCGGAGCCCCCCGUGGGCACACGCCGUCCCCCAAAUGCAGUGGCGGUCCCGCCGCAGCUUCCAUCGCGUAGUAGCUAACACCUCGCGACUGGAGAGCGGCGCGGCCACGCCGUAAAACACCCAACUCUUCUGAAGUUGACCUCGAAUCAGGUAGGAAUACCCGCUGAACUUAAGCAUAUCUAAGCGGAGGA